rnacentral:rRNA from 1 species
UACGGGGGGUGCAAGCGUUGUUCGGAAUUAUUGGGCGUAAAGAGCGUGUAGGCGGCUUGAUAAGUCAGAUGUGAAAGCCCUGGGCUUAACCCAGGAAGUGCAUUUGAAACUGUCUCGCUAGAGUAAGGAAGGGGGAAGUGGAAUUCCUGGUGUAGAGGUGGAAUUCGUAGAUAUCAGGAGGAACACCGGUGGCGAAGGCGACUUCCUGGUCCUAUACUGACGCUGAGACGCGAGAGCGUGGGUAG